AGGCCUAUGGGUUCUCACUGAAACACGGUUGAAUGGUUUUUUUCAGAGGAAAGAUUAAUAAUUGUUUCUGGUUUUACGAGGUUGAAUGAAUUCCACACGGGCGGUUUACCUACUGGGAUGAUUCCGAAUGAUGGCAAUAGUGAGAUCUUUGUUAUCACCAGAAGUUUAGAAAUGCAUGAUUUGUUAUAAAACACAAAUUGACAAAUAGCAGAAUGAUAAAUGAAUAAAACUAAGAAGAACUCACUAAAUUUCAAAUGCAAAACACAAUCUAAAGAAGUUUGAAACACAAGCUGUAAACUCUGUUUAUACUGUGAAUGACCUGAAUGAAGCGCAAUUUAUCUCGAAAUUCAAGAAAAAAACUUUACUUCAAGCACGAUCAGAGUUCUACCCAGAUUUGAUUAUUUUUUUUCUCGUAAUCAGAGGAUACUUCUUUAGGGGAUUUUAUUACAUAAGCCGGACUCUAUUAUCUGCGACAUUUGGUGUCAGAAGCAGCUUCACAAAUGUUCCAUCUGGAGAUUACUCCAGGAAUGUUAUCUGGGGAUCCCUUCAGAAAUUUCAUCAAAUUUUCCUUUUGAAGUAUCUGUAGGGAUUCCUACAAAAGUUUUGUUUUGGUUCCCCGUCAAUCGAGAAAUUUGACCUCAGGAUUUCUCCAGGACCUCCUAAAGGAUUACAGAAGAAACUCUUGGAAGAAUUCCAAAAAGCGCUUUUGAAGAAUUACAACAGGAAACUCAAAGAGGAUACCUAAAAAGAACUUUUGAGAGAUUCCUUCCGCUAAUUUUUGGAGGAUUUUCAUAAAGAACUUUGGGAUGAUUUCCACCAUGGAGGAUUUUCAGAGGAGUGUCUCCUGCAGGAUUUACAAAAAGCUUUUGUCGAGUUGAAGAUAAUAGCUGUAAAAUACCAAACGCAGGUAUGCAACAUCUUCGUGUGUAGUAUAUUCAGUGGAUAGCGGGUGAAUAGUAACACCAGGUAUUCAAAGCAUGCCUUAAUAAACCUACGCUUUCACACAACUACAACAGUUCUCAAUAAACCAGUACUGUAGGUGUGACAAUACCUGUACAAUACCAAAAUAUGUUAUUUUUAAUACCAGGAAAACCGAUCAUGCCAAUAACAGGUACGAUACCAGGCUUUGGUAUGCUGGUUUCAGUUACGUGUCAGUUAUUCAUUCCUGCUAGGGUGUGGAUGAAUUACGAAAGGAAUUCCUGCAGGAAUUUCAAAAAGGAUGCCUUCUAGAAUCCCUGAAGAAACUUUUGUUAGGAAUCCUAACAAAAAUCCUGCGAUUUUUUCUGCACGAAUCACAGAUGUACUUGGGGGUUUUCGGUCUUACAGGCAUCGAUUCUCAAUCCUUAAAGGUUUUUAUGAGAGAAUGCCGAAAAGAACUCAUUAAAGAUCUCAGAAGGAACUUUCGGAGGAACCUCAGGAAAACAUUCUGGGGAAACUCCUGGAGGAAUCCCAAAAGAAACUCCUGAUCCCUGGUGGCACUCCUAAAGGAAUCCUUUUAGCUUAUGUCUUUACACCCCACUAUGAUGUUGAAGUGUCUCUUCCGCACGAAACGAGGUUAAAAGAGAACAAAAAAUCUCUCAUCACUCACAUCUGGUUGACGGCGAGGUUCAAUCACAUGUUUUCUGGCAUUUGCGCUCAUCAGCGAGAAGCACUCAUUGAAGAUGAUUAUAUGCAAUGCAUUUGGUUGAGUAUUUCUACAUUCAUUUUCAAGAAUCUCACGGCGGAGGUGAAAGUGAUUGCGAAGAUCUUUCAAUUCAGUGAAGUUUUAAUAAAAUUAAUGAGAUUUUUAAACUCUGGUUUAAUCCAGAAGGAACUCCUAGAGAAAUCCCAAGGACCGGCAACUAUUAAAGGUAUCCAACAAUCAAAUUUCGCAUUGAAUUCCAAGAGAUAGCCAUCGUACAAGAUUACCUAUAGAACAAUCUCAGAAGGAACGCCUGAAAGUAGUUCUGGGUAAACUUCAAGUUAUUAAAUUCCAUGAGAUAUCCUAAAGAGAAAAAUCUAAUGAGAUUUUCUGAAGGUAUUCCAGAAAUAACUCCCAAAGCAGCCCGUGAACGAACUUCUGGAGCAACUACAUCAGAAACUCAUGAAGCAAUUCCGGGUGUAACUUCUACUGAAAACCCCUACUGAAAACAAGGAGAAUUCCUUUUGGAAUUCAAAUGGGAAUUGAUUUGAACUGAAAAAUUUCUCCAGGAGAUCUUUAAGAAUACUUCUAGAAUUUGUCUGAGAAUUUUCUCCAGAAUUUCUUCCAAGAAGUUCCGGAGAAUUUCCUCAGUUCAUCGGGAAGUCCUCCUGGACUUCCCCGAGAAUUAUUUUAGGAGCUAUUUAGGCAUUCAUCCAGAAUUUCUCCGGGAAUCCUUCGAUGGCUUUCCCAUGAAUACCACAGGAAUUUCUUUAGAAGUUCCCCAAGAAUUCAUGCGGCAUUUGUGGUACGAUCCAUCCAGGAUUUCCCUGAGAAUUUCUCCACGAUUUCCCUGUAAACGAUUACAAACAUCAUUUGAAAAACCCCUCAUCAAGAUGUCUUCCAGCAAUUGCAUGAUUCUCUUCAAGACUUCCUAAUGAUUUUUUUCUAGGGUUUUCCAUGAAAUUCUUUAAGUUGUUCCUCGGGUAUGUUUCCACGAGUUCCACAAAAACUCCCACGAAAUUCGGGAACACUGGAAUGGGAGUUUAUCGGGAAUUCCUUCAGGAGUUUCACGAGAAUUCCUUACGGAGUUUCUCCAGGAAUAGCUCUAGUAGUUCCUUGGAAAUUCUUCUAAGAGUUUCUCGGAAAUUCCUCCAAGAGUUCAACGGAAAUUCUGCCAGGAGUUUCUCGGUAAUUCCUUCAGUAGUUUCAUAGGAAUUCCUCCUGAGAAUUCUUUGAGAAGAUUCUCGGAAAUUUCUACAGAAGUUCCACGGGAAUUCCUCCAAGAAUUUCUUCAACAGUUCCUCGGGAAUUCCUUCAGGAGUUUCGCGAGAAUUUCUUCAGGAGUUUCGCCAGAAUUCCUUCCGGAGUUCUUCCAGAAUUUCUCUAGGAGUUCUACCACGAGUUCCACGGAAUUUCUCCAGGAGUUACUUGAGAAUUCUUCCAAGAGUUUCCCGUAAAUUUCUACAGAAGUUUCGUGAGAACUCUUUUUUUCUCGAGGUGUUCCACGGGAAUUCCUCCAAGAGAUCCUCGGAAAUUCUGACCGGAGUGCUUUGGCAAUUCUUCCAGGAGUUUCAUGAGAAUUCAUUAAAAAGUUUCUCCAGGAAUUUCUCUAGUAGUUCCUCAAAUAUUCUCACAGAAGUUCCUCGGGAAUUUCUCCAGGAGCUUCACGAGAAUUCCUUUAAGAGUUCUUUGGGAAUUCCUGGGAGUUCCACGGAAAUUCUGCCUGGAGUUUCUCGAGAUUUCUUCCAGGAGUUUCACGAGAAUUUAUUCAGGAGUUCCUCGAGAAUUCCUCUAGGAGUUCCACGGAAAUUCUGCCAGGAGUUUCUCGGCAAUUCUUCCAGGAUUUUCACGAGAACUCCUCAAUGAGUUCCUCGGAAAUUCCUCAAGGAGUUCCACGGAAAUUCUGCCAUGAGUUUCUCAAUAAUUUCUCUAGUGGUUCCACGGGAAUUCCUCCAGGAGUUACUCGAGAAUUCUUCCAGGUGUUUCUCGGAAAUUUCUACAGAAGUUCCACUGGAAUUCCUCCAGGAGAUGUUUGCGAGUUUCUCCAGGAGUUCAUCGGGUAUUCCUCUAGUAGUAUCAUGGAUUUUCCUCCAGGAGUUAUUCGAGAAUUCUCGGGAAUUCCUCGAGGUGCUCCACGGAAAUUCCCCCAAGUGUUCCUCAGAAAUCCUCCAGGAGUUUUAUGAGAAUUCCGUAUCAAAUUCCUUCAGGAAUUCUUUUAGAAGUUCCUCGGAAAUUCUUCUACGGGUUUCUCGGAAAUUCCAAGGAGUUCCACGAGAAUUCCUCUAGGAGUUCCACGGGAAUCCCUCCAGGAGUUACUCGAGAAUUUUUCCAGGAGUUUCUCGGAAAUUUCUACAGAAGUCCCACGGGAAUUCCUCCAGGAGAUGUUCCCGAGUUUCUCCGGGAGUUUAUAGGGAAUUCCUCCAAGAAUUUCUUCAACAAUUUCUCAGGAAUUCCUCGAGAUGUUCCACGGAAAUAUCAUCAAGAGUUCAUCAGGAAUUCCUCCAGGAGCUUCACGGGAAUUUUUUCAGGAGUUCUUCGAGAAUUCCUCUAGGAGUUCCACGGAAAUUCUGUCAGAAGUAUCUCGGUGAUUCCUCUAGUAGUUCCACGGAAUUUCCUCCAGGAGUUGUUCGAGAAUUCUUUCAGAAGUUUCUCGGAAAUUCCUACAGAAGUUCCACGGAAAUUCCUUCGAGAGAUGUUCACGAAUUGCUCCAGGAGUUCACCGAGAAUUCCUCCAAGAAUUUCUUCAACAGUUUCUCGGGAAUUCCUCGAGGUGUUCUACGGAAAUUUCAUCAAGAGUUCAUCAGGAAUUCCUCCCGGAGUUUCACGAGAAUUCCACCAGAAGUUUAUCGAAAAUUUCUCACGGAGUUCCUCGGGAAUUUCUCCAGAAGCUUCAUGAGAAUUUUAUAGGAGUUCUACGGUGAUUCCUCUAGUAGUAUCAUGGAUUUUCCUCCAGGAGUUAUUCGAGAAUUCUUCCAGGAGUUUGUCGGAGACGAGCUUGGUGGUCUAGUGGCUACCGCUUCUGAUUGAUAUGCAGAAGGUCCUGGGUUCAAUCCCUGGCUCGUCCCUUUCCUCCUACUUUGUAUCUUUCUAUCUACUUUCUCUCUCACUCUCUCUCUCCUACAUAUACAUCUCAUGUAUAUUCGUAUGUUCGUAGCGAUCGCUAGAACCAGAAACGGAUUGAAAAAAGCCGUUUCCCUUCCUUCCAACUUUCAUCACAGCACAGUGUCAAUCUAUCAUAUAACGCCUGCAAGUUAUGCAACCAAGCGGACUGUGCCGCUUCACAGUAAUCUUCACACAAUCUAACGCUUUACUCUCCUGGCACCCUUGCACCAAUGCAUGAUCCAUGUGCCAAAAAUAAACAUUUCCCACCAACACACCAACAUCCGCAUGACCUUGUGCAGGCGCAGAGGAUUCAACGGCCUGAUGUGGGCAAGCGAUUGCAAUCAUUACUUCCCUCCCCUUCCCCAUUGACCUGCAUCCUGGCGCAGCAGGCGCCAUUGUCGCCUAUAAAUACAAGACCACCAACGCUCACACACUGAAGAUGCCUGUUAGUCCCAAGCAGCUAUCUCAUUGGUUCCUUGUGUGAGUGUAGUUGAUCUGGCGAUACUGGAGUUGCAACUGCGGGCGGUCAAUCAAGCUCAAGCUCAAGCUCAAGCUCAAUUCUUCCAGGAGUUUGUCGGAAAUUUCUGUAGAAAUUUCACGGGAAUUCCUUUAAGAGAUGUUCGCGAAUUUUUCCAGGAGUUCAUCGAGAAAUCCUCCAAGAAUUCCUUCAACAGUUUCUCGGGAAUUCCUCGAGGUGCUCCACGAAAAUUUCCCAAGUGUUCCUCAAAAAUUCCUCCAGGAGUUUUAUGAGAAUUCCGUAAGAAAUUCCUUCAGGAAUUCUUUUAGUAGUUCCUCGGAAAUUCUUCUAGGAGUUUCUCGGAAAUUCCGAGGAGUUACACGAGAACUCCUCUAGGAGUUCCACGGGAAUCCCUCCAGGAGUUACUCGAGAAUUCUUCCAGGAGUUUCUCGGAAAUUUCUACAGAAGUCCCACGGGAAUUCCUCCAGGAGAUGUUCCCGAGUUUCUCCAGGAGUUCAUUCCUCCAAGAAUUUGUUCAACAAUUUUUCAGGAGUUCCUCGAGAUGUUCCACGGAAAUAUCAUCAAGAGUUCAUCAGGAAUUUCUCUAGGAGUUUCACGUGAAUUCCACAAGAAGUUUCUCGAAAAUUCCUUAAGGAGCUCAUCAAGAAUUCCUCCAGGAGCUUCACGAGAAUUUUUUCAGGAGUUCUUCGAGAAUUCCUCUGGGAGUUCCACGGAAAUUCUGCCAGAAGUUUCUCGGUAAUUCCUCUAGUAGUUUCACGGAUUUUCCUCCAGCAGUUAUUCGAGAAUUCUUCCAGGAGAUUCUUGGAAAUUUCUACAUAAGUUUCACGGGAAUUCCUCCAGGACGUGUUCACGAAUUUUUCCAGGAGUUUAUCGAGAAUUCCUCCAAGAAUUCGUCGACAGUUCUUCAGGAAUUCCUCGAGGUGCUCCACGAAAAUUCCCACAAGAGUUUCACAGAAAUUCCUCCAGGAGUUUUAUGAGAAUUCCUUAAGAAAUUCCUCCAAGAAUUCCUCUAGCAGUUCCUCGGAAAUUCUUCAAGGAGUUUCUCGGAAAUCCUUACAGAAGUUCCUCGGGAAUUCCACCAGGGGUUUCUCGAAAAUUCCUCAAGGAGUUUCACUAAACUCUUAAAGGAGUUCUUCCAAGAAUUCAUCCUGUAGUUCCUCGGAAAUUCUUCUAGGAUUUUCUCGGAAAUUCCUCCAGGAGUUUCACGAGAAUUCUUUUAGAAGUUUUUCGGGAAUUCCUCCAGGCGAAUUUCUCCAGGAAUUUAUCCGGAAUGAUCCCAGGAAUUUCUUAAGGGGUUUCUCGUGAAUCCCUCGAGGAGUUCCAUGGAAAUUCCUCCAGGAGCUCCUCCCAGUCUUGCCAGAUUUCUCCAUUUCAAAGAAAAACUCCUGGAAACCCCCUGCAAGAACUUCGGGAGCAACUAUUAAGGAAAUCCCAAAUGGAGCAUGUGGUAGCAAAUCCGGGAAGAGCUCUGAAAAUAAUCCUGAGAAAAUCUGUAAAUACAUAAUCUCAGGUGGAUGAAACCUGCAAGAAAUUCGGUAUACAACUACAAGGAAAAGCCUGGAAAAAGCAAUAGCUCCUUCAGAAACCCAAGAAGGCAUUCAGGAAAACAAUUUUAGGUGAAAGUACAGGGGAAAAUUCAGAAAAACUCUGAGAGAUAUCCUAGGUCCAACAGCGGAAGGAAUUUUCUGAGAGUAGUCCUGGGAGAAACUCCUAGAGAAAUCUCUGUUGACAUUUCAGAUGAAAUCUCACAAGAACCUUUGGGGAAAACCUCAGCUAAAACUCCUGUAGAAAUCCAGGGAGAAACUCUAGAAAAAAUCUCACGGAAAUUUCUUGAAGAUAUUAAUACAAGACAAACUUCUGAAGAAAUCCUGGGAGAAACUCUUGCAGAAAAUUCGAAAAAAAAAAUUCUCUAAGAAACCCCUAGGAGCUCUAGGAGAAAUCUCAGGAAUAACUCCUGUAGCAACUCUGGGGGCAUCUCUGUAAGAACUCCCAAGAGUAACACAGCAAAAAAUCGCCUAAAAUCUUCAAGAAGAAUCCCGAAAGAAACUCUUGAAGAAACUCCGCACCAACAUCUGCGAUAUACCUUAGAGAAACUCUUGUGGAGAUCUCGGCAUUAAUCCUGGUAGAAGUCCCACGAAAAUAUCUUUGGGCAAAACGGUGGAGGAAUCCCGCGAGGGACUCAGGGAGAAAUUCUUUAAGAUCUCCAUGGAACACUCCGUAUGUAGGAAUCCGAGGGAAUCUACGG